rnacentral:rRNA from 1 species
GAACCUUACCUAGACUUGACAUCCCGGGGAUUUUCUGGAAACAGAGAAGUGCUUUAGCAAUAAAGAACCCGGUGACAGGUGCUGCAUGGCUGUCGUCAGCUCGUGUCGUGAGAUGUUGGGUUAAGUCCCGCAACGAGCGCAACCCUUGCCUUUAGUUGCCAGCAUUCAGUUGGGCACUCUAGAGGGACUGCCGGUGUCAAACCGGAGGAAGGUGGGGAUGACGUCAAGUCCUCAUGGCCUUUAUGUCUAGGGCUACACACGUACUACAAUGGCCGGUACAAAGGGCAGCCACUCAGCGAUGAGGAGCCAAUCCCAUAAAGCCGGUCUCAGUCCGGAUCGCAGUCUGCAACUCGACUCCGUGAAGUUGGAAUCGCUAGUAAU